GCCGACGUAGCUCAGCUGGUAGAGCGGCGCUUUUGUAAAGCGUUGGUCGUGGGUUCGAGUCCCUCCGUCGGCU
rnacentral:tRNA from 1 species